AGAGCUUCCUUACUCUUUCACUGCUCUCUGCCAUAUGAGGUUACAAAAACAGGCUUGCUGUCUGCUAACCAGGGAGAGGACCUCACCAGACACCAGACCUCCCAGCACCUUGAUCCUGCCUUUCACAGCCUCUGAAACUGACAUUAUCAGGGCAACUCAGGUUUCCCAGGGCCAUGCCAAUGGGCAGCUUUCCACAAUGAGUACUGACUACAUGCAAGCUUUCAUACAACAAAUAAAUCAUGGAAAGUGAAACUGGGACCAUCAGUGGGAACUGAAGAGCUAUUCUUUUAUUUUAGAGCACACUUCUGUGAUUUCCUUUUUUAGGUGCACAAUUUUGUGCAUGGGUUACAUGUUAAAUGAACUUGGUUCAAUCAAGCAGAGUAAAAGAAAAAAGAAAACACACAAGCCAGAAAACAGUGGAACAUAAUUGCUUAAAGAAUUGUAAGAAAAGGACUCAACUCAGAAUUUUAUACCAACAAAGGAAUCUCUCAGAAAUGAAGGAAAAGUAAAUGGAUUCUCAGUUGAAAAAAAUUAAGACAAUUUUUCACCAGCAGAAUUUCUUUAUAGGGAAAUUUAAAGGACAUACUUCAGGAUAAAAGGAA